UCGAGCGGAUGACGGGAGCUUGCUCCUUGAUUCAGCGGCGGACGGGUGAGUAAUGCCUAGGAAUCUGCCUGGUAGUGGGGGACAACGUUUCGAAAGGAACGCUAAUACCGCAUACGUCCUACGGGAGAAAGCAGGGGACCUUCGGGCCUUGCGCUAUCAGAUGAGCCUAGGUCGGAUUAGCUAGUUGGUGGGGUAAUGGCUCACCAAGGCGACGGUCCGUAACUGGUCUGAGAGGAUGAUCAGUCACACUGGAACUGAGACACGGUCCAGACUCCUACGGGAGGCAGCAGUGGGGAAUAUUGGACAAUGGGCGAAAGCCUGAUCCAGCCAUGCCGCGUGUGUGAAGAAGGUCUUCGGAUUGUAAAGCACUUUAAGUUGGGAGGAAGGGCAGUAAGCUAAUACCUUGCUGUUUUGACGUUACCGACAGAAUAAGCACCGGCUAACUCUGUG
rnacentral:rRNA from 1 species